UCCCUGGAGUACUAGUGGUUAGGCCACGGCACUUUCACAGCCAAGGCCCAUGUUCGAGUCCUGGCCAGGGAA